rnacentral:tRNA from 1 species
UGAGGGGUAGCGCAAACAGGAAAGCGCGUCUGCGCUCCGCCGCAGAAGGCGUGGGUUCAAACCCCACCCCCUCAACCA